AACGUAGGAGGCGAGCGUUAUCCGGAUUCAUUGGGCGUAAAGGGCAAGUAGGCGGUCGUGCAAGUUGGGCGUGACAUAUCCCGGCUUAACUGGGAGGGUGCGUUCAAUACUACACGACUAGAGGGCAGGAGAGGGAGGCGGAACUCCUAGUGUAGCGGUGGAAUGCUCAGAUACUAGGAAGAACACCAGUGGCGAAGGCGGCCUCCUGGACUGUUCCUGACGCUGAGAGGCGAAAGCUAGGGGAGCAAACGGGAUUAGAUACCCCCGUA
rnacentral:rRNA from 1 species